CCCUUAGAUGUUCUGGGCCGCACGCGCGCUACACUGAUGAAUUCAACGAGCUCCUAACCUAGGCCGAAGGGUCCGGGUAAUCUUUGAAAUUUCAUCGUGAUGGGGAUAGAUUAUUGCAAUUAUUAAUCUUCAACGAGGAAUUCCUAGUAAGCGCGAGUCAUCAGCUCGCGUUGAUUACGUCCCUGCCCUUUGUACACACCGCCCGUCGCUCCUCCCGAUUGAAUGGUCCGGUGAAAUGUUCGGACCGCGACAAGGCGGACGGUUCGCUGUCAGCUUUGCUGCGGGAAGUUCAUUAAACCUUAUCAUUUAGAGGAAGGAGAAGUCGUAACA
rnacentral:rRNA from 1 species